UUUAACUGCCCUGGCUCAAGGCUAUGGAAUUCUGGGAGUUGGAGUUUGUUGCGGGCCCAGAGCGCUGCAAAAAUGUAGGAAAAAUGGAGGACACACGACCGAAGCUGUAAGCAGCCCCUAGAACCAGAAAGGCAUGCUUCUCCCGUUAUGCUCGGAAUGGAGGACAUUUUGGCAUUCCUCCUGGACGGCAGCAGAAGGGAGACACGGAGGACAGGUCCAAAGAAAUGAUUAAUCCCCCUCAGCUCAAGGUGUCCUGAAUUUCACAUGCCUCCUUUUGAGACGCUACUCAUCAUCUAGACUGUGCUGAAAUGAACCCUGGACAUAGUGCUCACUUUCCUACUUGUAGAAUUCCAGGCAGAGACAUGGCUUCCACACUAAUAAAUGCACCUGAGGUACUUACUUAAUCCCAACCAGUAAUAAAGCCUGGAAAACACAUUCGUGGACAGAAUGGUGUCAUAGAAGCUGGAGAUUCACCAGAAUGGAUUUCAAAGGACCAAAAAUGAACACAUUUUGCCUAAGGAGUAACAGAAUUCCUGCUAAAAAUGUGAAGCUUUCAUCAAAUGCUGGGAUUCAUCAUUUCAAACAGGAAAAAACAUUUUGUAAGAGCAGUCCAAGAAGUAACCUAGAUGCAAAGUUAAAUACCUCUUUUCUCUUAAUAUGCACAUUUUUAAAAAAUAAAACAUGCAAAAGCAGUCUCAGAGAGUAAUAGUUAACAGCACUGAAGCAGGCAGGGAAGCAGAGUACCCUGCUGCAGUCCUGACAAAAUUGAUUAAUUUGAAUUAUUAAUUAUUAUAUUUGUUUAUAUUCCACCUUUUUCCCAGUUCAGGACUCAAGAGGGCUUACAACAGAUUUUGAAAACAUUGUUAAAAAUUCAGAAGAUACAAAAGUUAAGAAGUGAUUAAAUUAUCAACAAUAUAAAACCACAAACCAUUAAAAAACCCCACAAUGGCACAACAAAAUCACAGAUAGAAAACCCAACACAUUGUAUACGGCCUGUUCCACCUAAACAAUCAGUUCUCCUAGACCUGUUGAAACAGAUACAUUUUCACCUAUUUACAGAAAGAGAGUAGGAAGAGAUGCAGUCUAAGUUCUCUGGGAAGGAAGUUCCAGAGCCUGGCAGCAGCCAUUGAAAAGGCCCACAUUCCCAUCACAUGCAUCUGUGAUGGUGGUGGGACAGAAAAAAGGGCCUCCCUAGCAGAUUAAACAUAGGCAGAUUCAUAAGGGACACUACAAUCCUUCAAAUUUGAAGUUCCUGUUUGCAUUGAGAACCAUCAUGGUAUAAUGGUUUGAAUAUUGGACUAGGUCUCUGGGGGACAAAUUCCUUAGUCAUCCAUCUG